ensembl:snRNA U6 U6 spliceosomal RNA
AUGCUCCCUUUGGUAGCACACAUGCUAAAAUGGGAACCAUACAGAGAAGAUUAGCAGGACCCCCGCAGAAGGGUGAUAUGGAAAUUUCAUGAAGUGCUUUCCACACUUUU